rnacentral:rRNA from 1 species
GAUGAACGCUGGCGGCGUGCCUAACACAUGCAAGUCGAGCGGACAGACCCGGCUCUUGCUCGUUUGACGAUAGGGGCACAGGGGAGAGACACACGAGGAAAACCUCCCUAUAAUUCUGGUAAAAUUCCGGAAAACGGGAUCAAAUCGCAUAGAAUAUCCUGCACCACAUGGUGGGAUAGUAAAAUUCGGCUUUGGGGGCGGGUAUGGAUGGAUCCGCGCCUUAUCAGCUUGUUGGUGCGUUAGCGGCUUACCAAGGCUAUGACGGGUAGCCGGCCUGCGAGGGUGACCGGCCACAUUGGGACUGAGAGACGGCCCAGACUCCUACGGGAGGCAGCAGUGGGGAAUAUUGCACAAUGGGCGGAAGCCUGAUGCAGCAACGCCGCGUGCGGGAUGACGGCCUUCGGGUUGUAAACCGCUUUCGCCUGUGACGAAGCGUGAGUGACGGUAAUGGGUAAAGAAGCACCGGCUAACUACGUG